rnacentral:rRNA from 1 species
GACGAACGCUGGCGGCGUGCUUAACACAUGCAAGUCGAACGAAAAUACCAAGCUUGCUUGGUUGAUUAGUGGCGAACGGGUGAGUAAUACGUGAGUAACCUGCCCCUUACUUUCCUGGAUAACUGCUCGAAAGGGUAGCUAAUACGGGAUAUUCUGACCAGCCUGCAUGGGUUGGUUUGGAAAGGUUGUUUUUCUGGUAAGGGAUGGGCUCGCGGCCUAUCAGCUUGUUGGUGGGGUGAUGGCCUACCAAGGCUUUGACGGGUAGCCGGCCUGAGAGGGUGGACGGUCACACUGGGACUGAGAUACGGCCCAGACUCCUACGGGAGGCAGCAGUGGGGAAUAUUGCACAAUGGGCGCAAGCCUGAUGCAGCGACGCCGCGUGAGGGAUGAAGGCCUUCGGGGUGUAAACCUCUUUCGUCAGGGAACAAGGCACUGCUUUUGUGGUGGUGUUGAGGGUACCUGGAUAAGAAGCGCCGGCUAACUACGUG